rnacentral:rRNA from 1 species
GAUGAUAACUAGCUGUCCGGGCUCAUAGAGCUUGGUGGCGCAGCUAACGCAUUAAGUUAUCCGCCUGGGGAGUACAGUCGCAAGAUUAAAACUCAAAGGAAUUGACGGGGGCCUGCACAAGCGGUGGAGCAUGUGGUCUAAUUCGAAGCAACGCGCAGAACCUUACCAGCCUUUGACAUCCUUCGACGGUUUCUGGAGACAGAUUCCUUCCUUCGGGACGAAGUGACAGGUGCUGCAUGGCUGUCGUCAGCUCGUGUCGUGAGAUGUUGGGUUAAGUCCCGCAACGAGCGCAACCCUCAUCCUUAGUUGCCAUCAUUUAGUUGGGCACUUUAAGGAAACUGCCGGUGAUAAGCCGGAGGAAGGUGGGGAUGACGUCAAGUCCUCAUGGCCCUUACAGGCUGGGCUACACACGUGCUACAAUGGCAUCUACAGUGAGCAGCGAUCCCGCGAGGGUUAGCUAAUCUCCAAAAGAUGUCUCAGUUCGGAUUGUUCUCUGCAACUCGAGAGCAUGAAGGCGGAAUCGCUAGUAAUCGCGGAUCAGCAUGCCGCGGUGAUACGUUCCCAGGCCUUGUACUCACCGCCCGU